rnacentral:lncRNA from 1 species
UGGUUUGUUCCUAGAUUGACUUCUUUUUUUUGUUAUUUCCUCUACAGUUCCCUAUGGUUCAGGUGAUCAAUUGCUCAGUAAACAGUAAUUGUUCAUUUUCUCCCCGGCGGAGGUUGCGGCCUUCUACCCAGUAACCGGUAGUUGUAAGUCCUAUUUCUGUGGUUUUCUACCCAAUAACCGGUAGAUGUAAUCCCCUCUUUG